rnacentral:lncRNA from 1 species
AUGGAAAAAAAUGUUUUAUUUUCUCCUUCCCAGAACAUUGAAGUAAUGUUUGAAGACUAUGGCAUAAGGCUGCCCUUGCUGAAGGCACUGAUUGACAGGCUGCUGCAGGACGGCAUGGAGGAGCUUCUGCAGGAGCUAACCACCUCUAGAAGAGUCAAUGAGAAGGAGAAACACGGCUCCAACAUUAUCACUGACUACACAAGAACUGUAAAGUAUGAGAUCUCCAAGGAGCCUCUGACAGAGAUGGACACCAUAGAGGAGGCAGUUGACUCUGACCUAGACAGACAGCUACCAGAACCUAACUCUGAUGCUUUGAAUGAAACGGCGGAGGGCCCCACAUUCUGGAGCCUCACCCCUCUUAAUGGUCUUAAUGGGGUCCAAGACGUGGGGAGGAUAGAGAGCACCUCUAAGGGGAUAGAGGGGACACUGACAGUAGACGAGGACUUCAGUGAAGCUCCCUCCCCCAAGUUGGCUUUAUCAAACUCAACAUUUAACAAGACAACGUCUGAAGAGAGGGUCUCUGAGGUACCAGGGACAAUAGUAGAAACUGUUCUCCUCAGUGGGGAAGACUCCUUGAAGAAAAAGAAGAGUCGGGAACGGAAGGGCAAGGGACAGAAAGGACGACAUAAGAGGCAAAGACAACGCCUGACGAGUACAGAGGAGGAAGAGGAAGCGGAGGAGGAGGAAUUAUACGAUGGGGAUGAGUACAGUUAUGAAUAUGAGGAUUCCACAGAUGAUCCCUCACUGUCAAUUGAAAAGCAAGGGGAGUUUGAAAUCACAACAGAAAGCACACUACAUGGAAUGAGCAAAGAGAGUGGCCUGACAACUUUAGGUCCAUAUCCAUCCCAGUCACCGGGAGACAGUGAAAAGCAGGGGGAAUUCAUCACACCUGUCCUUCCUAGCACAACGGAAGAAACAGAGAAGGUAAGUCUGUGACUGACUGCAUGAUUCUACCUGAUGCUUUACUAACCAUGAUCCUGAGGGAUAUGAGGUGUAAAUGGACACAACUAGCCUUCUAUUCAUCUUUACUAACGAUGUUCCUGAGGGAUAUGAGGUGUAAAUGGACACAACUAGACUUCUAUUAGUCUUUACUAACCAUGAUCCUGAGGGAUAUGAGGUGUAAAUGGACACAACUAGCCUUCUAUUAGUCUUUACUAACCAUGAUCCUGAGGGAUAUGAGGUGUAAAUGGACACAACUAGACUUCUAUUAGUCUUUACUAACCAUGAUCCUGAGGGAUAUGAGGUGUAAAUGGACACAACUAGACUUCUAUUCAUCUUUACUAACCAUGAUCCUGAGGGAUAUGAGGUGUAAAUGGACACAACUAGCCUUCUAUUCGUCUUUACUAACCAUGAUCCUGAGGGAUAUGAGGUGUAAAUGGACACAACUAGCCUUCUAUUAGUCUUUACUAACCAUGAUCCUGAGGGAUAUGAGGUGUAAAUGGACACAACUAGACUUCUAUUAGUCUUUACUAACCAUGAUCCUGGGGGAUAUGAGGUGUAAAUGGACACAGCUAGCCUUCUAUUAGUCUUUACUAACCAUGAUCCUGAGGGAUAUGAGGUGUAAAUGGACACAACUAGCCUUCUAUUCAUCUUUACUAACCAUGAUCCUGAGGGAUAUGAGGUGUAAAUGGACACAACUAGACUUCUAUUAGUCUUUACUAACCAUGAUCCUGAGGGAUAUGAGGUGUAAAUGGACAAAACUAGACUUCUAUUAGUCUUUACUAACCAUGAUCCUGAGGGAUAUGAGGUGUAAAUGGACACAACUAGACUUCUAUUCAUCUUUACUAACCAUGAUCCUGAGGGAUAUGAGGUGUAAAUGGACAAAACUAGACUUCUAUUAGUCUUUACUAACCAUGAUCCUGAGGGAUAUGAGGUGUAAAUGGACACAACUAGACUUCUAUUAGUCUUUACUAACCAUGAUCCUGAGGGAUAUGAGGUGUAAAUGGACACAACUAGCCUUCUAUUAGUCUUUACUAACCAUGAUCCUGAGGGAUAUGAGGUGUAAAUGGACACAACUAGCCUUCUAUUAGUCUUUACUAACCAUGAUCCUGAG